rnacentral:rRNA from 1 species
CACGUAGGGUGCGAGCGUUGUCCGGAAUUAUUGGGCGUAAAGAGCUCGUAGGCGGUGUGUCGCGUCGGCCGUGAAAACUUGCAGCUUAACUGUGGGCGUGCGGUCGAUACGGGCAUCACUGGAGUUCGGCAGGGGAGACUGGAAUUUCUGGUGUAGCGGUGAAAUGCGCAGAUAUCAGGAGGAACACCGGUGGCGAAGGCGGGUCUCUGGGCCGAUACUGACGCUGAGGAGCGAAAGCGUGGGGAGCGAACAGG